rnacentral:rRNA from 1 species
GAUGAACGCUGGCGGCGUGCCUAACACAUGCAAGUCGAGCGAUUCUCUUCGGAGAAGAGCGGCGGACGGGUGAGUAACGCGUGGGUAACCUGCCCUGUACACACGGAUAACAUACCGAAAGGUAUGCUAAUACGAGAUAAUAUACUUUUAUCGCAUGGUAGAAGUAUCAAAGCUUUUGCGGUACAGGAUGGACCCGCGUCUGAUUAGCUAGUUGGUAAGGUAACGGCUUACCAAGGCGACGAUCAGUAGCCGACCUGAGAGGGUGAUCGGCCACAUUGGAACUGAGACACGGUCCAAACUCCUACGGGAGGCAGCAGUGGGGAAUAUUGCACAAUGGGCGAAAGCCUGAUGCAGCAACGCCGCGUGAGCGAUGAAGGCCUUCGGGUCGUAAAGCUCUGUCCUCAAGGAAGAUAAUGACGGUACUUGAGGAGGAAGCCCCGGCUAACUACGUGCCAGCAGCCGCGGUAAU